UAAAGCUAAAGACCUACUAAGCCGUCACACGCACCCCGAAGGCACGAAAUCCUAACACGAAAGUAGCUUUACCACCUCUCCAGCACCACGAAAGCUAAGAAACAAACUGGGAUUAGAUACCCCACUAUGCUUAGCCCUAAACCUAGAUGUUGAACUUACAAACGACAUCCGCCAGGGUACUACGAGCGCUAGCUUAAAACCCAAAGGACUUGACGGUGUCUCAGACCCACCUAGAGGAGCCUGUUCUAGAACCGAUAACCCCCGUUAAACCUCACCACCCCUUGCUUUUCCCGCCUAUAUACCGCCGUCGCAAGCUUACCCUAUGAAGGUCCUACAGUAAGCAAAAAGAGUACAACCCAAAACGUCAGGUCGAGGUGUAGCUUACGAGGUGGAAAGAAAUGGGCUACAUUUUCUUUAACAGAACAUUACGGACAACACUAUGAAACUAGUGUUUAAAGGUGGAUUUAGUAGUAAAAGACAAAUAGAGUGUGUUUUUGAACCAGGCUCUGAGACGCGCACACACCGCCCGUCACUC
rnacentral:rRNA from 1 species